UACAGAGGGUGCGAGCGUUGUCCGGAAUCACUGGGCGUAAAGGGCGCGUAGGCGGGCUCUUAAGUCAGGGGUGAAAGCCCGGGGCUCAACUCCGGAACUGCCUUUAAGACUGCAUUGCUUGAAUCCAGGAGAGGUGAGUGGAAUUCCGAGUGUAGAGGUGAAAUUCGUAGAUAUUCGGAAGAACACCAGUGGCGAAGGCGGCUCACUGGACUGGUAUUGACGCUGAGGUGCGAAAGCGUGGGGAGCAAACAGG
rnacentral:rRNA from 1 species